UAUCCAAAUGACGAGGUGAAUGGCUGGUCUGCCUGUUUCUACGCACUGGUUCUGCGCGGUAUCUGAGAUCUUUUAUCGACCUUUAUCUCCUGGGGUGGUCAGAAUCUGAUAGUUGGUGGGGACUUCAAUCUGGUCGUCGACCCAUCCAUGGACAGAUCCAGGAACCGCUGCUAUAUGGUUACUUGUUACUAUGGUGAUGUGUGUCACUUUAGAAUGAGGUCAUCAAGUGCCGCCGGAAAGGAGGAGGGUUUACCUUGGCUCCAGGUGCGGCAUAAAUCACGGGUGCACAGGUAUAUAAGAUUAUGAACUAUAAAAAAGAAGAAGAAGCAGCAGAGGUGUCGGGGUGUUAACCAGUGAAGACACCUUCCAAACGAUGACUGAAGCAGUUUGGUACAGGAGAGAAGAUGAAAUGGGAGGCUGGGGAGCAUAAGAGCAGCAAUCUGUAGUUGUUUGAGCCAAGAGCACUCAUAGGAGCAAUAACUGGGAUAAGUAAUAAGUAGUUCAGACCAUCAGCGGUGUAGGGAAGGUGCGUACUCUCUUUUGCAAAAUACCUUUAUAUGUAUUCACUAGGGUUUCUCCCAUUGAUAUUAAUGGACCAUUUCUUCCAACAGAGGGGGUCAUUCUGACCCGUUAGCUCGCUGCGUCUUAACGCCUCUGCCUUACUGACAGGCAGAGGUGAUCGCUGGG